UCUUUUCCUUUUUUUCCAGCAGCCGCGGUAAUACGUAUGGUGCAAGCGUUAUCCGGAUUUACUGGGUGUAAAGGGUGCGUAGGUGGCAAGGCAAGUCUGAAGUGAAAAUCCGGGGCUCAACCCCGGAACUGCUUUGGAAACUGUUUAGCUAGAGUACAGGAGAGGUAAGUGGAAUUCCUAGUGUAGCGGUGAAAUGCGUAGAUAUUAGGAGGAACACCAGUGGCGAAGGCGACUUACUGGACUGCUACUGACACUGAGGCACGAAAGCGUGGGGAGCAAACAGG
rnacentral:rRNA from 1 species